GUCGAGGGGCAGCAUGGAAGUUUGCUUGCAACUUCCGAUGGCGACCGGCGCACGGGUGAGUAACACGUAUCCAACCUGCCGAUAACUCGGGGAUAGCCUUUCGAAAGAAAGAUUAAUAUCCGAUAGCAUAUCAAGGUCGCAUGAUCUUGAUAUUAAAGAAUUUCGGUUAUCGAUGGGGAUGCGUUCCAUUAGUUAGUUGGCGGGGUAACGGCCCACCAAGACGACGAUGGAUAGGGGUUCUGAGAGGAAGGUCCCCCACAUUGGAACUGAGACACGGUCCAAACUCCUACGGGAGGCAGCAGUGAGGAAUAUUGGUCAAUGGACGAGAGUCUGAACCAGCCAAGUAGCGUGAAGGAUGACUGCCCUAUGGGUUGUAAACUUCUUUUAUAUGGGAAUAAAACAGGGUAUGCAUACCCUCUUGUAUGUACCAUAUGAAUAAGGAUCGGCUAACUCCGUGCCAGCAGCCGCGGUAAUACGGAGGAUCCGAGCGUUAUCCGGAUUUAUUGGGUUUAAAGGGAGCGUGGGUGGAUUGUUAAGUCAGUUGUGAAAGUUUGCGGCUCAACCGUAAAAUUGCAGUUGAAACUGGCAGUCUUGAGUACAGUAGAGGUGGGCGGAAUUCGUGGUGUAGCGGUGAAAUGCUUAGAUAUCACGAAGAACUCCGAUCGCGAAGGCAGCUCACUGGACUGCAACUGACACUGAUGCUCGAAAGUGUGGGUAUCAAACAGGAUUAGAUACCCUGGUAGUCCACACAGUAAACGAUGAAUACUCGCUGUUUGCGAUAUACAGUAAGCGGCCAAGCGAAAGCAU
rnacentral:rRNA from 1 species